UACGAAGGGGGCUAGCGUUGUUCGGAAUCACUGGGCGUAAAGGGCGCGUAGGCGGCUUUAUAAGUCGGGUGUGAAAGCCUGUGGCUCAACCACAGAAUUGCCUUCGAUACUGUAGAGCUUGAGACCGGAAGAGGUAAGUGGAACUGCGAGUGUAGAGGUGAAAUUCGUAGAUAUUCGCAAGAACACCAGUGGCGAAGGCGGCUUACUGGUCCGGUUCUGACGCUGAGGCGCGAAAGCGUGGGGAGCAAACAGG
rnacentral:rRNA from 1 species